GAGAAAGGCAGAGAAAAACAGGAGAGGAGAAAGAUUUGGGUGUGUGCCUGAACACGCGCUCGCGCGCGUUCACGCACACACACACCCGCACAUGCACACACACAUGGUCCAGCGGUAAUCUCUAGCCAGAGUAAAUGCUCAAUAAAUGCUAAUUUCUCUUCCUCUUGAGCAUCAGAGACCAGAGACUCGACGACCACCGCUAAUCCUCGCCAUGGUCAUCAGCAGCGAGGGGGGCAUCAGGGACUUAUGCCUGUUGAGUCUGUUGUCUCUGAUAAAUGUGUCAUUUUCAGGGUUUGGCCUACAACAAUGAGGCGGUGCCAGCAGAGGUGGGUGAGCUGCAGAGAGAUCUGCACAGUCCCCUCCAGCAAGUGCUGAGAGCCGGAGGUGAGCUGCACAUGUCCUGCUGCUGUGUUCACAUGGCCUACGGUGGCUGCUAUCAGAAGACACCCCUGCCCGGGCUGUGUACCAGGCACAUCUAUUCUCUCAGCUCUGGAGGUGGGGAAGGCCAAGAUCAAGGUGCAGCAGGUUGAGUGUCUGGUGAGUUCCUCUUCGUAGCUCACAACAGAGACUUGUUACUGUGCCCUCACACAGUGGAAGGCCGGAGGGCCUUUCUCCUGGUCCCUUUCUAGAACUGAGUGCUGAUUUCACUCGUGAAGGUUCCAUCCUCAAGAUUUAACUCCC
rnacentral:lncRNA from 1 species